UCAACUUUAUAUGUCAAAAGAUUGUUUAAAGAUCUCGUUUUUUAUUGUUUUGGGGAGUUCAGCGAUGCCGUGGACCUGUCGUUUAAACCUGAUUCUCUUCUGCUUAUUCACAGUUCACUGAUUCAAUCUAUUUCUUGGAAUGCUCUAUGUGCAUAGCUGGUUUCCCGGGUUAUGGAUGCGUGGAUGGUAAUGGAGAGUCCAGUAUGCUUUCCGGAGUUCGGGAGUUUUGAAUUUAAUCGGUUCUGUUUGUUCUGUUGUGUGCUUUUGGAUGAUCAUAUGCAAUUAUCAAUUUCGAACUUAUAAACGAGAAGCAAGUGAUUAUUUUGUAGUUCAUGUGCUUAGCUGGAUAUCUUUUCCUAGGUCGUUAUGGAUGUGGGGAUGGCGGUGGAGAGCCAAGUCUAGUUCGUGUUCAGGAGUUUGAGAAUUUUUUAUUUAAUCGGUUCCCUUUUUGGUGUUUUCAUCGAUGAUAUGUUUGGGGGCCUUUUGAGGUAUUCCGUGAUUAUUUAGCAGCUAAUUCUAAUUUUUGGGGACCUUUUGCGGAAAGUCGAGUAUGCGAUCAGGAGUUUGGGAGUUUUGUAUUUAAUCAGUUCAUGUUUUUGUUUUUGUUCUGUGCUUUUGGAUGAUUAUAUGCGAUUACCAAAUACAUUGAUUUGCUACAGGAUGAUAAAUUUGGGGACCCUUUUGUGUUAUUCUGUGAUCAUUUUGCAGCUAAUUUUUUAAUUUUGUGGUUGUAAAAUUGGUCACUAUAUCCAUCUGCAUGACAUUUAACCACCAGGUAUGCUUCAUGUGUUGGUUAUUGCUGGGUUAGCUCUUUGCCGUUGAAGAAAAAGAAAAUCUGUGAGGAUGUUCAGAUCUUAGGGUUGUCAAUGUCAAAUUGGUUUUUGCAUGAUACUUGCACGGACAAGUUUCUCUUCUGCUUUGUUAUCAUCAUUGUUCUACUCACAAGUCUAGUUCUUUAUUCUUCUUGUUGGGGCUUCUUGACCUUGAUCUUUUAAGCACAUAGAGGAUAUGUUGUCAUUUGCUCUUGUUCAGCCUGUUGGUUGAGUAAUUUUUUGUGAAGUUGAACUGGAGCAUGAGUAGGGGUUUUGAGAUUCGAGUAUUCCUUCUUGUGGGAGGUUCAGUCAUGUAAUUAUUUUCUUGAUGAUCAUAGGGGUGAUUAGUGAACAUAUCAGGGCCUGUCAUAGUUUAAUCUUGUCAUGUUUGGAUUCGUAUUUCAAGGUGUUUAUCAUGUAUGUGAUGCUUUGGACCUUCUUUGGGGUUUCAGCAGGCAGUGAGCAUUGGUUUGGACCUGAUUCUUCAUCUUCUUUUUAGUUUAACAAUAUUGUAUCGAUUAUAUUUACCUCCUGUUCUCUCCCUUGGUUUUCCAAUGUAGGUGUAGUGCAAGUUGUUAGGUGAAACGGGUGCAAGUUUCUUUUCUUUGGUUGCAGAUUGUUCUUAGCUUAUUUGUUAUACAGGGAUUAGAGGCUUCUUUUAGAGUUCCGUCUUCUGGAUAAUUCCGAACCUUCGCUUACUCCUAGGCCAUUUAGGUCAAGAAAUCAACCUUCUUUGGUCCUUAUACACAAGUUUGAGCUGCUGUUAUUUUGUUACCCCGACUGAGGUGGUGUUGUUCUUGAUUGUAAAAUUGAUGCGUGCUUUUCGUCUUUGCCUUCUUUUUUUCCUCAUCUCCUUACUACAGAAUAAUUUUAUUUGAUCAAGUAGUAGGCUCAUGAUGAAUGUUGAUGAUGGGAAAAUGUCGAUUUACAUCCAGUUGCAAGCCCUCAACGUUGCUAUUGUGCAAAUCUCAUCUCCUUAGAGGAAACGUGGGCACACUCUUUAUCUCUCUCUCUCAUCUUAUGAGUUUGAUGAUGACUUUGUGGGGUAGGAUGGGGUAAUUGAGUUUUACUUUCUGUGCUUGCAGUUGCAUAAAGUAAAAUUUGGGAGGAUGCAGGUCCAGUUUUGGUAGGACAUUUCAGUUGAUUCAUCAGUUUCUUUUUUCUGUUUCUCAUGUGCAUAAUGUUGUUUUUGUCAACUUGCUUAUUGUGGGGGUUGUCGGUUGAAUUCCGUCUGUUGACCAAAUUAUUUCAACCUAUUUCUUACCUUUUUGUUUUUCCUAAUUUCUUGUUUCUACUAUAUUUUCGCAGUGUAGCGGUUGUUCCAUUUGCAUAAUGAGUUGUCCGCUUCUUGUUUGGUGGCCUACAUUGAUGGAGAGUACCACUUAAUUUUUUAAGAUGUGAUUAUGGUGUUUUUGGUGCAGCGCUCUUUUCCUCAACAUUGUCUGCUUGUUCAUUCAAGUUGCUUGUUGCGGGAUAUUACAUUGACAAGAUAUUUUUCUUAUUGAUGGAGGCAAAAACGCAUGUAGACAUCUCUUGGGGUAUUGAGUUGGGUUGAGUUGGAUCUUGCAGGGAAAGUGAGGGGUAUUGGGAAUGGUCAAGCUCCUCCACUUAUUGCUGAAUCUGGAAUCUACUGGAUAGCAUCUUUCCUCUUAUUAUCAGGUCUUCUUUUCCAUUCAGUUCUUCUAGGGUAGCUGUGAUAUGGUUGUAGUUUUGAGUUAGACGUUAAAGGGCAACCUCUGGUCUAGUUUCCAGAUUUCCGAACCGGAUCUACUUUCUCAUCAGCAUCCUUUUCUUUUUCAUUUUUUUUUAUCACGUCUAGUUUAUUAUAAGGUGACUGAUUAUUAUGUUCAAUCUGUUGCUGUAGUCGAUCCGUCUGGAUUGUGAGAUUUGAUGAUGCAAGUCUUGAUAAGAAAUUCGAGUCAUAUACUUAUUUCUGUGUCUUGAUUGCAAUAGAUGUUCAGUGUGUGACAAGUCGUGAUCGGGUUUUGUGCCUUGGUGGUCCUGAAAUUGUGUGCAGCAAUUUUGGAACAGUUCAAUCACGUCCGUGUUUUCUAUCUCGAGGAGUUGCCAUGGGGUGGGGAUUUGGACGUCUCGCAUAUUUUCAAUUCAUCCGAUUUCUUGUGGGUAAUUUGCGAGGGUAGACUCGCUUGAAAAUUUUAUCUCAGCUUGACGACGUCUGUGAUUUUUAUUUUGAAGAGUUGCCAUGGGUGAGGAUUUGGACAUCUUGCAUAUUUAUCCAAUUUCUUUUGGUAAUUUGCGAUGGUCGACUCUCUUGGAAGCUCUAGUAAGGCUGUUGAGUGAUUAGCUUCCACUUGAUUUUUCUUAUUCUAGCACUGAUUUUCUGAACUAGGUGUGGUUCGAGUUGUUAUGGCAUUGCAGGUGGAAUCUUGGAUUUAGAUGGAUGUGUGAAGCCAGUAAUAUUUUUAUCUCUAUUGAAGUAAUAUUUUCAUUAAUUAGCUUCUAGAGGAUGAAGCAAAGUCUGUUCUCUUUUGUGUAAAGGAUGAAGCAAAGCAAGUUUGUUUUAUGCUGCUUAUGUUGCUAUGCUUUUAUGUAGUGGAGUAAAACCUCUCUGAAAGGUCUACACGUCAGGUUGGAUAUCCUCUACAAGUUGAAGCUUUACCAAGAUCUCUGUCCUGUGAAGUUCCUAAACUGGGCAAUUAAUUCUUGCAUUAAGAUUGUGCCAUCCGUGAUAUCUGAUUCUAGAGACACUGAUUUCAACUGGCGCAUUUAUCAUUGUGGACUCUCUAGACAUAAUGUUGAGUUUUGCUGCUUGGAUGAACAUGCUAUUGUUCUCUUUUUAUUCUUUAAUCAAGGAUUACUCUUUAAAGGAACGGAAUAGGCAGUGAUCACCAUGGUAAAAAAAUUUGACUUUUGUCUCCAGUUAUGAGGCUGUCAGCCCUGUUCUUUCAAGGUCGUUUUGGUGCUCCAGUCAUGCAGUUGUCAGCUUCUAGAAUAGGGUGGUUCUCUCCCUAUCUCCGUCUUUGUUUAUAUAGAGUUUCACUAGAAUGAAAAGAACUUUAUUCAUAUCAAGUCCCUUAGGUGUAGAAAUCCGACUUUUAUGAGCUGCUGUUAUAUUUCGUGUUGACUUCUGCUCUUUGAUCUCAAGUAAAGAACUAUUCUGUGGUCUCUUUACGUCUGAUAGAUUGUUCCAUAGGUAGGACGGGUUGGCGGACUUUGGAUUGUUAACCAAGUCUUGCUUCAAGUGCUUGCACAGCUUAGGUAAUUAUAUGUUAAGAUGGCUCCCUUGUUUGUUAUGUGGAAGCUUGGGCUGUUGUUUUAACGAGACAACGAGAUGCCAAAAUUCAUUGAGCCUGAUUGUGUGGUUGUCUCAACUCUCCCGGAGUGAUAAUGUUCAAUUGAGCAGAGUGAUGCAACUUUUUGAGUUUUUCCUUGUUUUUCUGUUUUCUGUACAUAUUGGGCUGUGGGAACAAAAAUUGUUACACUGUGUGAUCAUCUAAUGAAUUGAGUUUGAGAAAUGCUUACCUUGUGUUCAUUUGAGUUUAUGUUGUAGCUUGUUAGCCCGAUGUUGGAUUCUAUGUGCAAAUGAGUAAAAUAUGCUAGCACAGAUAUGUGGUGUACUGGGUUCUAGGGGUUGGGAAUUGCAAUGUUAUUGAUCCAACGAGUUUGCUACAUCCAUCUGAGGGUUCACCUAUUUAUACUUGUGACCUCUCCUUGCAUGUUUUUAAGGUCACAUGAAAUCUGUCUGGAUCUUUUGGUACGCCAGGUAGUAACAAUUUGUUAUCAGCUGCAUGUCCUAGUUCAUAUCCUAGUUUCCUUGUGGCAUGUACCUUUUCAAUGCUUUCCUGGCUCUAACUUCUAGUCAGUUUGUCUCCAUGAAUAGCAUUGUGGAUGGCGAGGGUAGUUUUAUCAGUACUACCUCAUAGAAAUGCUUCUAUUUUAUGUUAGCUUGAUAACAGCUUAGCUCUGACAGCAAGAAGAUUGGAUUUCUCGGCACUCUUUUCAGUAGUGUUAUACUGUUUAGUGGACCACUAUAUGAUGAAGGCUCUUGGCCAAAUCCUGAU